GGCUCGGUGGCCGAGAAGAUAACGGCGCCGGCCUUCAAAUGGGCAGGGAUGUGGUUCGAAUCCCAUUCGGGCCG
rnacentral:tRNA from 1 species